CCCUCGCUCAAAGAAUCGCAUUCGAAGCAAGCAAACGGACAGUUCCUCUUGGAAUCGUCGGCUCUCUCAAGCCAAAUUCGCUUUGGGAGAGAGUCCCCAGACAUCCUUCACAAGGCCUGCCAAAACGCGUUGCCAUAGAAGCAAUUGCGACCAGCUCUGACUCUACCUGAUCAAUGCCGACCAACCUCUUUCGUUGCUUACCUUUCUUCUGCUAACUCCACGCACGAUUCUAUCCGAAGCGGGCGGGCCCCAUGGACGAAGAUGCGAGUCCGAACCGCCCGUGAACAUUGAAUGAUGGCCUGGACAUGCGGCAGCUUGAGACGAAAAUAAGAGUAGGAGGGUACUGUGACGUAUAUAGGCUUGGGGACAUUUCGUCGAGAUUCAUUACUCGUCUACUGCGAGAGCAGCAUGACGAGUAACUCGAUGGGGCUUAUUCUUGAGACGAGG
rnacentral:RNase_MRP_RNA from 2 species